CAAUAGCGUAUAUUGAAGUUGUUGCGGUCAAAAAGCUCGUCGUUGGAUUUCUGUUGAGGUCGAACGGUGCCGCCCUAUGGGUGCGCAACUAGCUCGGCUUCGGCAUCUUCUUGGAGAGCGCAUCUGCACUUAACUGUGUGGAUCGUACUUCAAGUCAGUUACUUUGAAAAAUUGUGAGUGUUUCAAGCAGGCUUACGCUGUUGAAUCCGUUAGCAUGGAAUAAUAGGAUAGGACCUCGGUUCUAUUUUGUUGGUUUUGGGAGCUGGGGCAGCGAUUGAUAGGGACGGAUGGGGGCGUCCGAACUUUACUGUCAGAGGUGAAAUUCUUAGAUCGGUCAAAGGCGAACUACUGCGAAUGCAUUCGCCAAGAAUGUUUUCUUUAA
rnacentral:rRNA from 1 species